AUGAAGUUCGCAGCCCUGGGCAGCAACAUCAUCGCCACGAGCAACAUACACGCCGGAACCCUCUUCUACGACACUGACACCGCCGGACUGGUCGUCGGCCCUCCCAUUCCAGACGAACUGUUUUGUGGCUCCAACAUCUUCCUGACCUCCGGCACCAGUGACGCGCUGUUCGCGUUCUCCUUCCACUUCAUGGAGCGGCCUGUGUACUUUAUGGCGAUGGUGAAGCCGCUGAUGACAGAAGACAAUGACCUGCUGCCCACCGACUGGUCCUGGAAAAGCAUGUCGACGCCCUUCAUCAAGGACAAGAUGAUCUUCUACGCGCUGCACCCGGAUGGGCGCACCAUAUUCGUGUCCUCGUGGAGCAGGGCGGUCUGCGGCACGUACUUCGUCGACGCCAGGAGUUGCAAGUGGAGGCGCCAUGGGGAGUGGGUGCUGCCUUUCAGAGGCCGAGGCUACUUCGACGCCGAGCUAGACGCAUGGGUCGUGCUGCACGAGGACAGCUACGUCUGCUCCUGCCAGAUCGCCUCCUGCAGCGGCGGCACCACGCAGCAGCCGGAGUGGAAGAUGGCCGAUGAGCAUAGGAUGUGGAUCCCGUGGCAUCAGCUGGAGUUUCGCCUGUGUCGAAUGUGA
rnacentral:rRNA from 1 species